rnacentral:rRNA from 1 species
GGUGAACGCUGGCGGCGUGCCUAAGACAUGCAAGUCGAGCGGGGCAGGUUUAUACCUGUUCAGCGGCGGACGGGUGAGUAACGCGUGGGUGACCUACCCGGAAGAGGCGGACAACCUGGGGAAACCCAGGCUAAUCCGCCAUGUGGUCCUGUCCUGUGGGGCAGGACUAAAGGGUGGAUAGCCCGCUUCCGGAUGGGCCCGCGUCCCAUCAGCUAGUUGGUGGGGUAAAGGCCCACCAAGGCGACGACGGGUAGCCGGUCUGCGAGGAUGGCCGGCCACAGGGGCACUGGGACACGGGCCCCACUCCUACGGGUGGCAGCAGUUAGGAAGCUUCCGCCAUGGACGGAAGUCUGACGGAGCGACGCCGCUUGGAGGGGGAAGCCCUUCGGGGUGUAAACUCCUGAACUGGGGACGAAAGCCCUGUGUAGGGGGAUGACGGUACCCAGGUAAUAGCGCCGGCCAACUCCGUG